GCCUGGGUGGCUCAGUGGUUGAGCGUCUGCCUUCGGCUCAGGGCAUGAUCCGGGGGUUCCAGGAUCGAGUCCUGCAUCAGGCU
rfam:Canis lupus familiaris chromosome 23, whole genome shotgun sequence.